GCCUCUGUGGCCCAGUCGAUAAGGCACUGGCCUCCUAAGCUGGGGAUUGCAGGUUCAAGUCCCGUCAGAGGUA
rnacentral:tRNA from 1 species